UACGUAGGGACCGAGCGUUGUCCGGAAUCAUUGGGCGUAAAGAGCGUGUAGGCGGCCACUUAAGUCCUGCGUGAAAUCUUGCGGCUCAACCGCAAGCGGUCGUGGGAAACUGGGUGGCUAGAGUGCGGGAGAGGAGAGUGGAAUUCCUGGUGUAGCGGUGGAAUGCGCAGAUAUCAGGAGGAACACCGGUGGCGAAGGCGGGUCUCUGAGCAGUAACUGACGCUGAGGAGCGAAAGCGUGGGGAGCGAACAGG
rnacentral:rRNA from 1 species